GGCGCUGUGGCUGAGUGGUAAAGCGCUAGGCUUCCGAACAGGGGGUCUCAGGUUCAAAUCCUGGCGAAGACU
rnacentral:tRNA from 1 species